rnacentral:lncRNA from 1 species
GUCGGGAUCCACCACAGCCAUUCGAUCAUACCUCAAAUGGAAUCUAGACCAUCGAUCAGCAUGUUUAAUCUCCUUAACACAGUCAAAAAUGUUCUCAAUCGUUGGAUCAUCAUCGGAUUGAAUUCUGACCGUUGGAUCACGCAAAACCUCUCUUCUCAACCAACAAUGAACAGCAGCCGUCGAAUCUCGUUCGGAAUGAAUUUAGACCG